rnacentral:rRNA from 1 species
ACGCACGCUGGCGGCGUGCCUAAUACAUGCAAGUCGAGCGAACCAAUGGGAGCUUGCUCCCUGAGGUUAGCGGCGGACGGGUGAGUAACACGUGGGUAACCUGCCUGUAAGAUUGGGAUAACUCCGGGAAACCGGAGCUAAUACCGGAUAAUAUUUUGAACCGCAUGGUUCAAAAUUGAAAGACGGCUUCGGCUGUCACUUACAGAUGGACCCGCGGCGCAUUAGCUAGUUGGUGAGGUAACGGCUCACCAAGGCGACGAUGCGUAGCCGACCUGAGAGGGUGAUCAGCCACACUGGGACUGAGACACGGCCCAGACUCCUACGGGAGGCAGCAGUAGGGAAUCUUCCGCAAUGGACGAAAGUCUGACGGAGCAACGCCGCGUGAACGAUGAAGGCCUUCGGGUCGUAAAGUUCUGUUGUUAGGGAAGAACAAGUACCAGAGUAACUGCUGGUACCUUGACGGUACCUAACCAGAAAGCCACGGCUAACUACGUG